AAGUCGUAACAAGGUUUCCGUAGGUGAACCUGCGGAAGGAUCAUUAACACGUAUCCAAACGUUAAACCCCCCUGUGAACCUUCAGUGUACUCGUACGUCCGUUAGAAAAAGCAGCAAUCCCUGGUAAAUCAUCGCCGAACAGUUUUCGAUUCAGGGAUGUCUGCUCUGAAAGCGUCAUUAACUGUGUAAGGAUGACGCAGUCACGAUCGUUGGAGGCCCACACGGCCGACGACCGGGUCACUGGGCGCAAGCCCCCCUAUAACAAACGCUGCUAAUCGCGGCCGCGAUAAUACGCAGUCGACCAAAAACCGAACAACUGUUAACAAUGGAUAUCUUGGUUCUC
rnacentral:misc_RNA from 1 species